UACGUAGGGUGCUAGCGUUGUCCGGAUUUAUUGGGCGUAAAGAGCUUGUAGGCGGUUUGUCGCGUCUGCUGUGAAAAUCCGGGGCUCAACCCCGGACUUGCAGUGGGUACGGGCAGGCUAGAGUGUGGUAGGGGAGACUGGAAUUCCUGGUGUAGCGGUGAAAUGCGCAGAUAUCAGGAGGAACACCGAUGGCGAAGGCAGGUCUCUGGGCCACUACUGACGCUGAGAAGCGAAAGCAUGGGGAGCGAACAGG
rnacentral:rRNA from 1 species